GACGAACGCUGGCGGCGUGCUUAACACAUGCAAGUCGAACGCUGAAGCUCAGCUUUUGUUGGGUGGAUGAGUGGCGAACGGGUGAGUAACACGUGAGUAACCUGCCCCCUUCUUUGGGAUAACGCCCGGAAACGGGUGCUAAUACUGGAUAUUCACUGGUCUUCGCAUGGGGGUUGGUGGAAAGGGUUUUUCUGGUGGGGGAUGGGCUCGCGGCCUAUCAGCUUGUUGGUGGGGUGAUGGCCUACCAAGGCUUUGACGGGUAGCCGGCCUGAGAGGGUGACCGGGCACAUUGGGACUGAGAUACGGCCCAGACUCCUACGGGAGGCAGCAGUGGGGAAUAUUGCACAAUGGGCGCAAGCCUGAUGCAGCGACGCCGCGUGAGGGAUGGAGGCCGUCGGGUUGUGAACCUCUUUCGCUCAUGGUCAAGCCGCAACAAUGGUUGUGGUGAGGGUAGUGGGUAAAGAAGCGCCGGCUAACUACGUG
rnacentral:rRNA from 1 species